AACUAGCAUGCAAGUCGAACGGCAGCACAGUCGUAGCAAUACGAUGGGUGGCGAGUGGCGGACGGGUGAGUAAUGCAUCGGGAUCUACCCUGACGUGGGGGAUAACCUCGGGAAACCGGGACUAAUACCGCAUACGUCCUACGGGAGAAAGCGGGGGACCUUCGGGCCUCGCGCGGCAGGACGAACCGAUGUGCGAUUAGCUAGUUGGCGGGGUAAUGGCCCACCAAGGCGACGAUCGCUAGCUGGUCUGAGAGGAUGAUCAGCCACACUGGGACUGAGACACGGCCCAGACUCCUACGGGAGGCAGCAGUGGGGAAUAUUGGACAAUGGGCGCAAGCCUGAUCCAGCAAUGCCGCGUGUGUGAAGAAGGCCUUCGGGUUGUAAAGCACUUUUAUCAGGAGCGAAAUACCACGGGUUAAUACCCUAUGGGGCUGACGGUACCUGAGGAAUAAGCACCGGCUAACUUCGUGCCAGCAGCCGCGGUAAUACGAAGGGUGCAAGCGUUAAUCGGAAUUACUGGGCGUAAAGGGUGCGUAGGCGGUUCGUUAAGUCUGUCGUGAAAUCCCCGGGCUCAACCUGGGAAUGGCGAUGGAUACUGGCGAGCUAGAGUGUGUCAGAGGAUGGUGGAAUUCCCGGUGUAGCGGUGAAAUGCGUAGAGAUCGGGAGGAACAUCAGUGGCGAAGGCGGCCAUCUGGGACAACACUGACGCUGAAGCACGAAAGCGUGGGGAGCAAACAGGAUUAGAUACCCUGGUAGUCCACGCCCUAAACGAUGCGAACUGGGAUGUUGGUCUCAACUCGGAGAUCAGUGUCGAAGCUAACGCGUUAAGUUCGCCGCCUGGGGGAGUACGGUCGCAAGACUGAACUCAAGGGAAUUGACGGGGGCCGCCAACG
rnacentral:rRNA from 1 species